AACCCAAUGUAAGGGCCCGUAAAAAGGCCCCUACGUCUUUAUCACCAACUCUGUAUUCAUAGAAUGUAAUCCAUAUCUUCGCCUUAACAAGCGUUGGUAAAACUUAUACAACUUUCAACAACGGAUCUCUUGGCUCUCGCAUCGAUGAAGAACGCAGCGAAAUGCGAUAAGUAAUGUGAAUUGCAGAUUUUCAGUGAAUCAUUGAAUCUUUGAACGCACCUUGCGCCCCUUGGUAUUCCGAGGGGCAUGCCUGUUUGAGUGUCAUUAAAUUCUCAACUCCGAUUUGAUUUGUUUCUUAUCGUAUCUUGGACUUUGGAGCGUGCUGGCGUAAGGUCGGCUCCUCUUAAAUGUAUCAGCGGAAUCUAACCUUUGAAUUCUGGACAUCGGUGUGAUAAUAAAAGUUGCGCCGUCGUUCUACUUCAAAGUCCGCUUACAAUGGUCUUUUGACAAACUCUUAUCAAAUUUGACCUCAAAUCAGGUAGGACUACCCGCUGAACUUAAGCAUAUCAAUAAGGC
rnacentral:rRNA from 1 species